GGCUCGUUGGUCUAGGGGUAUGAUUCCUGCUUCGGGUGCAGGAGGUCCCGAGUUCAAAUCCCGGACGAGCCC
rnacentral:tRNA from 1 species